UAUGAACACGCUAGCAUAUUUAUUGUACUUUUAAACUGCUACUAAAAAUUGUUAUACUAUGGCCAUCAAGCACUUGUAAACCUAAAAUCAGCGUUACCCCUUAUCAUAUUUCUGGCCUCAGAGGCUCGCGCUUUGUGAGUUUUGAAUUUGGCAACAACGGCCAUGCCUAACUUUCCUGAUCAUCUUUGUGUUACAAAAUUUGGACAUGUGUAAACCAUUAUGAGGAUUAUUUUGGGGGGAAAUACAUUGAAACUUAUUUACAGCUAUUUGAUGUAAACAAAGUAUUAUGGAGUUAAGCAAAGUGUGCACGUUAUGUGGACUAAGGGCAUGAACACGGGAACCUCUAUGUUAAUAUCGAAAAUUUGAAAGCUGUUGAAAACAACUGACAUUAUGCUAAACAAUUAAAAAACAAGGAAAGCAACAAUACCAACAAGUCAUUCGGAGGGUGCCAAGCUGCCUUCUUAUAUGUAAGCUGUCCUAAUAUGAGCAUUGAGAAACAGCCUGAUAAGAAAAAAACUAGCUCAAAAGCAGGACAAUGGACAUGGGAGACUGAAAAGUAGAAUGUCAGUCAUACCAUUUACAUGAACCCUACCAAAAUCAAAGUUUUGAAAGAAUAUGUGAGAGAAGUAUUUUUAGUGAUGCAAUUACCGAAAAGAUUCGAGGAAGAUCUGAGCUACUCUAGAAACUUUUCAAGGAACUACCUGUACAAAAGAGUGAAAACGUGGACUUAAAUCAAAAAGUUCAACUUAUUAUAUUAAGUGGAAGACAAACAUUAGGAAAAUAAAAAGAUAUUCUGGAUGUGAUGUCUGUAUUAUGGUGUGUUUUAAAAAGGAAAUACACAGGAACUAUAGAUGGUUUUAUGUUGUAAGUCUGGCCACUGAUUUAAAAAAGAAAUGAAGGCAAUGAUUCCACCCCAUCCGGUGCUAAUUUAAAAGGAUUUAGUCACCGGAUUCAAAAGCAUAAAUCAAAAGAAGUUUUUCUGUCCAUUGUAAAAAGUGUUCAUCUUUACCCUAAGGCGGAUUCGGACGCAACCUUUUAAUAAGGCGGAUUCCACCUUAUAUUUAAGUGGAUUCCACCUUAUUUUAGGGCGGAAUCUUGCGUAUUCCACCUUAUAUUAAGGCGGAUUCCAAUUUAUCAUAAGGUGGAUACCACCUAAGAUUUAGGCGGAUUCCUUUUUGGUUUUAAGGCGGAUUUUUAUUACCCGGAAUACGCUUAAUCUCAUUUAAAUAUUUUGAGCCAUAUACCGCCCGGAAUCCACCCGGACUCCACCCUGAAUCUGUGAUAUUAGUUAUACAUUCAGAGGAAUGAAAGAUGGAAUCCGCCUUUCAAAUUUCGCCUACAUUCCGCCUUAAGUCAGGGUGGAAUUUUUCGUACGGGUGACAUUCCAUGAAAAAAAAAUUCUACAUAUUUGUAAAAAUAUCAUCCGUUUCCAAAUACAUUAAAACAUGCUAAUAACGAGUUCCCAGGUACGGGCAAUUUUACUUCGUUGUGAGCGUAAUUCAUUUUAUCCGUCAAGUUUGCAACAUGUAAUAAAUGCAUAAACGGGAAAUGAAUCAACUUUGCCGUAAGCAUCAACUUACCGUAAUGCUGUUUAUUACAAUACAUGAUCUACGUGAUCCCCUUUUGUUUAAUCACGAGUUCAAGUCUCUCUAUAGCGUAAUUGAUCACGUUUCUGCACGUCUUGAGUAUUUUUUUUUUUGUAUUUUUCGGGGCUUUGCUACUUUCAGGUCUUCCAGAGUGUUUGGCGUUGGUGCAUACACUUUGUUUUGUUUUUUAAACUACACCCAUAAAAAUCAAUUUGGAUUACAUCAGGGAGAGUGUUGACGAACCACAGUCCGUCUGAACGAAAUCAGUUUAUGACCGAAUGUUUUCUGUAACCAUUCAAGAACCUGUCCCGACGUGUGCGGGGUAACUCCAUCUUGGUGGACAAUUAAAAAUCAGCAGUAUGAUUUAGCUCCAGGUCUGCAGU